CCACCACCAACAGGGGGAAAAAACUUGCACACUCUGAGAGCUCAACUGUGCAUGCACUUUUAUUUGGUGCUUGUAGACGUUAUGGGAAAGUUGUCUCUCUCCCUACAUCUCUCUCCCUCUCCCCAUCCCUCCCUCCCCUCCUUCUCUUCGUCUAUCAUGUGCUUGGGAUAUGCUCAUGCUUUGCACAGAGCAGCCGAAGCACGACUAAUGCAGGCAACUGAGUGUUAACGGCAAUUUUAAAGUGAUGCCCCCCCCACCAAAUAUUACGGCUGGGAUAUUUGUGGGGAACAUACCACACCAUGGUACACACGGAGCCAACUGAACGCCGCUGUUCUUCCCCUGCUUGGGACGCUUUAUUAUCGAUUGCAGUGAUUUGACUCACCUCGAGGAAUGAUGGAGAAAGAGAGCUGUGGAGAACUGCAGCCGGAAGUAGAGGUCAAGACGAGAUCUCUGGGAUUUUGCUGUCCAUUGGACCCACAUGAGGUUGGAUGGAGACCUCGUAGAUCAUGACUCAGAAACGAAUGGCAUAAUAUGUGGAGUCUUCAGGCUGAAGACGUUAAGGAUAUUCAGCUGAUCUCAGAGGUAAAUGAGACAUCCUGAGCGAGAAGCCUGAAUUUCAUCAAGAAAGGAGCAUCAAGAUGUCCACUCAUAACUCCCUUAAGCUCUAUGAGCUUCACAUUGCUCUACAACACUUGAACCUGCAUUGUAUUCUCCAUUUCUGUAUUUAUGUCAACUGGUUAUAUAAUACUGUACUACCGGUCAAACAGACAAAUACUGUGACCUUGCACGUAUUUAUUUUAAAUGGGAGGAUACUGAGGUUGAAAAUAUGUUUCACAUUGAAACUUGUAUUCGUUUCAUGUAAUUGAUUGAGUCUAACAAGUAUAUUUUUUGACAGCUAAAUAAAGGCUUUUCUUUUCUUUUAA